rnacentral:rRNA from 1 species
UACGUAGGGGGCAAGCGUUGUCCGGAAUCAUUGGGCGUAAAGCGCGUGUAGGCGGCCCGAUAAGUCCGCUGUAAAAGUCCAGGGCUCAACCCUGGAAAGCCGGUGGAUACUGUCGGGCCCGAGUCCGGAAGAGGCGAGUGGAAUUCCUGGUGUAGCGGUGAAAUGCGCAGAUAUCAGGAGGAACACCGAUGGCGAAGGCAGCUCGCUGGGACGGUACUGACGCUGAGACGCGAAAGCGUGGGGAGCAAACAGG